CGAAACGGUAGACGCUACGGACUUGAAAAUCCGUUGGCUUUAUUGACCGUGAGGGUUCAAGUCCCUCUACCCCCA
rnacentral:tRNA from 1 species